AGACAAAGAGAGACGCGAAGCCUUGCUUUCCUUUGGGUUCUAGUUCGUUUCUCCAUGACGAGAAACCCCCCUCUCUGGAACUUUGUCGCCGCAUCAAGAUCGGCGGGUCCCCUGUGCACAUGUCCGCACCCCCACGGUCACGGAUAUGCCCAUGUGCCUGUUCACAAAGACAUAAAUAUUUGCAUAAAAGUAUAAACGUCGUUGUAGGGACAUGCAUUGAUAUUUGUACGUGGACGUCCUUGCACAGCUAUACAGAGACGCACAGAGAGAUAGAAAUGGACUUGCGUAGGAGGUAUGAAUCGAUAUACGUAAAACUGUAUUUGCAGAGCUCUACAUACACGUGUGCUUCUGUGUGUCCCUGCGUUUCAAAUCUGCAUGUAAGCCCAGACGUUUUGAGAGACAGUCUAUUUCGCUCGGUGAGGGGAAGCUCUGGCGACACAGAACAUUGGUGGUCUCUGUACAAAGAAUUGAGGGAGGUGUAGAGGGAUAAGUAGAGAGCAGGAUUUGUUCCAUAUCGGUACUGUCGUGUGUCAAAGUACCAUCUGCAACCGGUCCCUCUCCCUCCAGAAACGACAACGCACGAAUGACGGCUUGUAGACGCUGAACGAGGAAUUCGUUUCCCCGAAUCUUCAACGCGCGUUCCGUAACGUGACAGCAAAAAUUCGCGUGCUCAACAACGGCGAAGAAUAGACGACUCCGAUCGAUGAAACUUCCUCACAGGAAUCCCCUCAGCAGGGGACACCCGAGGCACUGAGGUGUACGCAAAAACAAGUGCUUCUCAACACUCUUCGUGCCCCUCCAAGGCUCUCUCUUCAUAUCGCGUCCCUGCCCUAGUAAGUUCCUGCGGGAGAAUACGUAGGCCGAUCUGUCUGUAGCAACGCAAAUGACUCGAUGGGGACCUAUAGAUACUUCGUAAUAUACACUCUAGCACCGAAGCCGAGGCUGCAUGAGUCGUCAUGCUGACGAUUUCAGCCACAGUCGCGUCACCGUAGGCAUGGCCGUGGCGACCAGAGACACACAGACGAGCAUGCAUUUAGACACCGAUUGGUUUCCAUCAUUUCGAAACUGCAUUCAUGUCCACAUGCUUCCACGUACUUACAGAUGUACAUACGCGCAUGCACACACCGGGCACUAGGGAAACUGUGCGGACGUGGCGGGACCUGACAGCUCGUAUCCCGGUGGCGAGCACCGCGCCUCCCAACUGUCUCGCUGACAAUACGACAAGCGUCAAAGCCUCUUUUGCACUUUUUCGAAUGACAUGGUA
rnacentral:lncRNA from 1 species